rnacentral:rRNA from 1 species
UACGUAGGCAGCGAGCGUUGUUCGGAGUUACUGGGCGUAAAGCGUGCGUAGGCGGUGUCUUAAGUUUGUUGUGAAAUCUCCCGGCUUAACCGGGAGGGUGCGGCGAAUACUGAGAUGCUGGAGUACGGGAGAGGUAAGCGGAAUUCCUGGUGUAGCGGUGAAAUGCGUAGAUAUCAGGAGGAACACCUGCGGUGUAGACGGCUUACUGGGCCGUAACUGACGCUGAGACGCGAAAGCGUGGGGAGCGAACAGG